UCUGUAGGAGGUUUGUUAAAUACGGGGUGAAAUCCGGGAGCUCAACUCCCGAAUUGCCUUGUAGACUGACAGACUAGAGUACUGGAGAGGUAAGCGGAAUACCAGGUGUAGCGGUGGAAUGCGUAGAUAUCUGGUAGAACACCGAUAGCGAAGGCAGCUUGCUGGACAGUUACUGACUCUGAAAGACGAAAGCGUGGGGAGCAAACAGGAUUAGAUACCCUUGUA
rnacentral:rRNA from 1 species